AGGCUUUGAUCCUGGCUCAGGAUGAACGCUGGCGGUCUGCUUAACACAUGCAAGUCGAACGGUGAACCCUCGGGUUCAUAGUGGCGGACGGGUGAGUAACACGUGAGAAUCUGCCUCCAGGUCGGGGACAACAGUGGGAAACUGCUGCUAAUACCCGAUGUGCCUAAGGGUGAAAGAUUAAUUGCCUGGAGAUGAGCUCGCGUCCGAUUAGCUAGUUGGUAAGGUAAAGGCUUACCAAGGCUCCGAUCGGUAGCUGGUCUGAGAGGAUGAGCAGCCACACUGGGACUGAGACACGGCCCAGACUCCUACGGGAGGCAGCAGUGGGGAAUUUUCCGCAAUGGGCGAAAGCCUGACGGAGCAAGACCGCGUGGGGGAUGAAGGCUCUCGGGUUGUAAACCCCUUUUCUCAGGGAAGAAGAUCUGACGGUACCUGAGGAAUAAGCAUCGGCUAAAUCCGU
rnacentral:rRNA from 1 species